UCUUUGGUUAUCUAGCUGAAU
rnacentral:miRNA from 1 species